rnacentral:rRNA from 1 species
CUACGGGAGGCAGCAGUGGGGAAUAUUGCACAAUGGGCGCAAGCCUGAUGCAGCCAUGCCGCGUGUAUGAAGAAGGCCUUCGGGUUGUAAAGUACUUUCAGCGGGGAGGAAGGGAGUAAAGUUAAUACCUUUGCUCAUUGACGUUACCCGCAGAAGUAGCACCGGCUAACUCCGUGCCAGCAGCCGCGGUAAUACGGAGGGUGCAAGCGUUAAUCGGAAUUACUGGGCGUAAAGCGCACGCAGGCGGUUUGUUAAGUCAGAUGUGAAAUCCCCGGGCUCGACCUGGGAACUGCAUCUGAUACUGGCAAGCUUGAGUCUCGUAGAGGGGGGUAGAAUUCCAGGUGUAGCGGUGAAAUGCGUAGAGAUCUGGAGGAAUACCGGUGGCGAAGGCGGCCCCCUGGACGAAGACUGACGCUCAGGUGCGAAAGCGUGGGGAGCAAACAGGAUUAGAUACCCCUGUAGUC